rnacentral:rRNA from 1 species
UCAGCAGCCGCGGUAAUACGUAGGCAGCAAGCGUUGUUCGGAGUUACUGGGCGUAAAGGGUGCGUAGGCGGUUGUUUAAGUUUGGUGUGAAAUCUCCCGGCUCAACUGGGAGGGUGCGCCGAAUACUGAAUGACUAGAGUGCGGGAGAGGAGAGUGGAAUUCCUGGUGUAGCGGUGAAAUGCGUAGAUAUCAGGAGGAACACCGGCGGUGUAGACGGCUCUCUGGACCGCAACUGACGCUGAGGCACGAAAGCGUGGGUAGCAAACAGGAUUAGAUACCCUGGUAGUCCACGCCCUAAACGAUGCAUAUUUGGUGUGGGUCAUUCAGUUGAUCCGUGCCGGAGCUAACGCGUUAAAUAUGCCGCCUGGGGAGUACAGUCGCAAGGCUGAAACUCAAAGGAAUUGACGGGGGCCCGCACA